ensembl:lncRNA
CGGAAAUGACGGAAAUAAUAACGGAAAGAAUGGAAAGAACCUCCAGAGAGACAGAAACAUAUGGCAGAAAGUUAGGUGACAGGUCAAGAACAAAAUGGAAAUAACAGAAAAAAACGAAAUAACGGAAAUAAUAAUGGAAAUAACGGAAAUAACGAAAAUACAAACGGAAAUAACGGAAAUAAUAUCGGAAAUAACGGAAAGAACCUUCAGAGAGACAGAAACAUAUGGCAGAAAACUAGGCGACAGGUCAAGAACAACAACAGAAAUAAUUAAAAUAAUGGAAAUAACAGAAAUAACAGAAAUAAAAAUGGAUAUAACGGAAAUAAUAAUGAAAAUAAUGGAAAUAAUAUCGGAAAUAAAGGAAAUAAUGGAUAAAACCUCCAGAGAGACAGAAACACACUGCAGAAAAUUAGGUGACAGGUCAAGAACAACAAUGGAAAUAACGGAAAUAACGGAAAUAACGCAAAUAAUAACAGAAAUAACGGAAAUAACCUCCACAGAGACAAAAACAUACGGCAGAAAAUUAGGUGACUGGUCAAGAAAACAAACGGAAAGAACGGAAAGAACAGUAAUAACUUCCACAGAGACAGAAACAUACGGCAGAAAAUUCGAUGACAGGUCAAGAAGAACAACAGAAAUAACGGAAAUAAUCGAACAAACCUGCAGAGCGACAGAAACACACAGCAGAAAAUUAGGUGACAGGUCAAGAACAACAACGGAAAGAACAGAAAUAACGGAAAGAUCCUCCAGAGAGACAGAAAUAUACGGCAAAAAAUUAAAUGACAGGACAAGUACAACAACAGAAAGAACAGAAAAAAAAAAAAAUAACGGAAAUAAUAACGGAAAUAACAGAAGUAACGGAAAUAACGGAAAAAAUAAGAAGAAUAAUAACAGAAAAAAAAAUAACGGAAAUAAUAACAGACAUAACGGAUAUAACGGAAAUAACGGAAAAAAACUCCACAGAGACAGAAACAUACGGCAGAAAAUUAGGUUACAGGUAAAGAACAAAAACGGAAAUAACAGAAAAAAACGAAAUAAAGGAAAUAAUAACGGAAAUAAUGGAAAUAUCGGAAAUAAUGGAAAUAAUCCCUAUGGAGGCAGAAACAUACGGCAAAAAAUUAGGUGACAGGUCAAGAACAACAACGGAAAUAACAGAAAAAACCUAAAUAAGGGAAAUAAUAACGGAAAUAACAGAAAAAAAUAACGGAAAUAAUAACGGAAAUAACGGAAACAACAGAAAGAACCUACAGAGAGACAGAAAGAUACGGCAGAAGAUUAGGUGACAGGUCAAGAACAACAACGGAAAGAACAGAAAUAACGGAAAUAACAGAAAUAAUAACUGUAAUAAAGGAUUAACUUCCACAGAGACAGAAACAUAAGGCAGAAAAUUAAAUGACACGUCUAGAACAACAACGGAAAUAACUGAAAUAACAGAAAUAACG